rnacentral:tRNA from 1 species
AAUAAAGUGCCUGAUAAAAGGGCUAUCUUGAUAGGAUAGAUCAUACAAAAUAGAAUUGUCUUUAUUA